rnacentral:rRNA from 1 species
UACAGGACAGCGGCGAAAGGGAGAGGACAACACGGGAAUCUGCCUUGGGGACGAGGAUAGCGUCGGGAAACUGACAGUAAUACUCGAUAAUGUUUGCGGACCAAAGGUGUGAUUCCGCCCCAAGAUGAGCCCGUGCCCCAUUAGCUAGUUGGUAGGGUAAUGGCCUACCAAGGCUAUGAUGGGUAGCUGGUGUGAAAGCACGACCAGCCUCACUGGCACUGAGACACUGGCCAGACACCUACGGGUGGCUGCAGUCGAGAAUCUUUGGCAAUGGACGAGAGUCUGACCAAGCGACGCCGCGUGCGGGAUGAAGGCCUUCGGGUUGUAAACCGCUGUCGUAGGGAAUCAAAUGUACGGGGGUUCUCCCCUGUAUUUGAGAGAUCCUAGGAGGAAGGAGAGGCUAAGCUCGUGCCAGCAGCCGCGGUAAGACGAGCUCUCCAAACGUUAUUCGGUAUUACUGGGCUUAAAGAGUUCGUAGGCGGCUUUGUAGGUGGGGUGUGAAAGCCCUCGGCUU